rnacentral:rRNA from 1 species
CAGCAGCCGCGGGAAUACGUAGGGUGCGAGCGUUAAUCGGAAUUACUGGGCGUAAAGCGUGCGCAGGCGGUUUUGUAAGACAGGCGUAAAAUCCCCGGGCUCAACCUGGGAAUGGCGCUUGUGACUGCAAAGCUAGAGUGCGGCAGAGGGGGAUGGAAUUCCGCGUGUAGCAGUGAAAUGCGUAGAUAUGCGGAGGAACACCGAUGGCGAAGGCAAUCCCCUGGGCCUGCACUGACGCUCAUGCACGAAAGCGUGGGGAGCAAACAGGAUUAGAUACCCCUGUAGUCCCUGUCUCUUAUAA